CCGUUCCCAUGCCGAACACGAAGGUUAAGCUUCAAAGCGCUGAUGGUACUGCAGGGGAGGCCCUGUGGAAGAGUAAGUCGUUGCCAGAU
rnacentral:rRNA from 1 species